rnacentral:rRNA from 1 species
AUUGAACGCUGGCGGCAUGCCUUACACACGCAAGUCGAACGGCGGCGGGGGUAGCUUGCUACCUGCCGGCGAGUGGCGAACGGGUGAGUAAUACAUCGGAACGUGCCCUGUAGUGGGGGAUAACUAGUCGAAAGACUAGCUAAUACCGCAUACGACCUGAGGGUGAAAGUGGGGGACCGCAAGGCCUCAUGCUAUAGGAGCGGCCGAUGUCUGAUUAGCUAGUUGGUGGGGUAAAGGCCCACCAAGGCGACGAUCAGUAGCUGGUCUGAGAGGACGAUCAGCCACACUGGGGACGAGACACGGCCCAGACUCCUACGGGAGGCAGCAGUGGGGAAUUUUGGACAAUGGGGGCAACCCUGAUCCAGCAAUGCCGCGUGUGUGAAGAAGGCCUUCGGGUUGUAAAGCACUUUUGUCCGGAAAGAAAUCGCACUGGUUAAUACCUGGUGUGGAUGACGGUACCGGAAGAAUAAGGACCGGCUAACUACGUGCCAGCCGCCGCCGUAA